GAGAGAGAGCAUGUGGGGCUUUGCCAGAGAGGAACUUGGAUGGCAAUCACCUAAGAACUCCAAACUCAGUGCCAGGGCAGACUGGUGUCUAUUUUGCAAUGUCUUCCAGUAGUUGAUAACUUUCUACUUUUAAAAUAAUUGGAAGAAUGUAAGCUCUCAACUAGUCCACUAGUCCCGAAACAAUAGAUACCAGCUGGCAGAGAUAAUAGCUGUCUGGAAGAGAGAGAUACAUACCACAUCAAAAAACAACAAAAAAAGAAUAACACCAUUUUUUUCCUCCUCUAUCAUCCCAGGGAUGGCUCAAGUACUCAAAAGGCAGCACUAAAAUAAGGCUAUGUCUCUUCCUGAGAAUACUCUGGACUUCAUUCUCUGAUUAAAGAUCACAACUGCUUCUUCGUUGAGGAAAUCAUGUAUUUCAAAGCCACCAAUGAACAAGGUUUGCAUUUGUGUUCAUUUAAGAAAAGAAAAAAACCCUGAGCAAACCUUUCUCUGUGCAUUAAGCCUUCUGACCUUUAUUGAAAUAACAAAACAGUUAUUCAAAGGACACGAGGAUGAAUUAAAGAAUGACAAUCCAUGAAUUACACAGUAAACAAAUACUAUAUGUAUGAGACCGAUUCACUGUCACAAACCUGGAGAAGAAAACCCUUUUGAGGUUUAAAGCUGAGAGGGAGAUAAAAACUUGGUUGUACUACUUCUGGGAAAUGCUGAAGUUAUCCACGUGAUUUUCCAGUCACUGAUUAUUUUAGCAAAGUAACACAAACAGAGGAGGAGCUCUGGACUCUAGCUUCUCAUUUCUAAAAGAACAGAUGUAAUGGGAUGUAUUGGUCCAGCACUGAUAACAGGUUAUCCUACAAUCAAGUAUACUCUUUCCAGAAAGCUGAGUUAGGUAUGCAACUGCCUUUCUAAGCCAUGACUACAUUGCUAAAUGAAUCAUUGAUUUGGAAAAUCUGAAGUGACCUUCAGCUUGUUCUCCAGCUCUUCCUCAACAGAAAAGAGAGGCAAAAUCAGCAAAAUAUUGGAAAGAGAUUUUAACCUGAAUGGAAAAGACAAUAUGAGGGUGAUGAAAGACUCUAGAUGGUCCGUCUUGGCAUCUGCUCAAUGAAGGAGAAUCGCAGAUAUGUGAACUCCUCCUGCUUCUGCUGUUUGUAGGAAGAGGCAGACUUGAAACCCUGCAUUGUCUGUGGCCUAAACAUUGCACAGAUGAUCAAUUUGUGAAAUAAGGGAUUUUUUAUUUGUAUUUGCCUAAAUAGAGAAACGCUAAUGGUGUGUUCCAUCAAUUAAAGAGAAAAGAAAUAAAUCUACCAAUACUACUGCAUUUGUUCAUUCAUAAAUUCAUUCAUUCAUUCCUCAUUCAUUCAUAUGCUAGAUCUUUGUAAUAAAAAAUUGAAAAAAAAUUAAACUCUUCAUUAUAAGUCUCAUCCUAGGAAGACAGACAAGUACACAUAUGAUAAGACAAGAAAAUUAAACUUUCUCAAGUGUUAAAGAGCAAGCACCAUCAUAUGUGUUUUUUAAUAUCACAUUGCGUUUAAUCUAAAUGCGCUAAGGAAACACAGGGCCAACCAGGGAGCUUGAUGUAAGUUUUUUGAUAAAUCUUAAUAGUGAAGAAUGGGGUGUAGAUUGUUAGAAAAAGACAAAUCCAUGGGGAUUUGAAUGUUAUUCGUACUGUUUUGAGUGGACAUAAGACAGUCCUGUGUAACUAGAGAAUAAAGUACGUUUAGCACCGUGAUGGGAGAAGAGAUGAGAAAGAUAAGCUGGAUCAAAUGACUUAAAGGACUUGAAAUCCAUCUUAAAAUAAAGGCUUCUACGAUAAAAAAAAAGGUAACUAAAAUCAAAGUGCCAAAAGGAAUAAGAAAAAGGUAAGUGAAAUCAAAGUUUUCUAUUAUAGAAGGAAAAUGAGUUGUUAUUUAUAAUGAAAAAUUGGAGAAGACAGAAACUGGUUAGGGAGUGGUUGACAUACCCCAUAACAUGAGGAUCUGAGGGCCAAGGUAUUAUGGAGAAUGGAAUUAUGGAGGAUAGGGCGAGACAAGAGACAUUUCAGAGAAAAAAAGCUGUGCUCCACAACCAGCUGUACUAGAACUUGCUAUUGUUCUCUGACGCCAAACCCUCCAUUGGGGUAAGCUAUGUUCAAUCACCUUCAUCUCGUAAGUGUUCAAGUGGGCUUUGCAGGAAAAUUGGUAUCUACUACUUCAGGAGGGAGACUCUUUAACCCAGAAGAAGGCAAAAAAAAAGUUUGAGCUGCCAAGUCUUAUUUGUGUUUAAUGUAUUUUAUCGAAUUAUCUUGAAGACUCAGUUCUUAGUUCUGUGUCAUAAAUAUGAACACUAUAUUUCCUCCAUUUGGGAAUUUUCAGUACUUUCCUUAAAAGGAGGCUAGCAAAAUGUAGUUUUUCUACAAACUCACUUACAUGGGUUGAAAGAGGAGUUUAUUUCCUAAGAUGUACUAUCUUGAAUAUUUAUUUUAGAUAAUUAUUUAUGCUUACAG
rnacentral:lncRNA from 10 species